rnacentral:misc_RNA from 1 species
UUGCUUCUCGUUCUUGUCAUAAUUCAUGGGCUCAAAGCACCCAAGGAGCACCACCUCCGCACCUGCGCGCGAGGAGGAGCGGCAGGCCCACGUCGACACAGAACAUCACACCGAACCCCCUUUCUUCAACACAGCAGCGCCGGAGGCGGCAGAGAUGCAGGUGACGGUAACUCCUACCACGCCGCCGACGUCGAUGGAGCAGGAGGCUAUGAUGGUGUCGGGAGAGGAGCCGAGCAAGCUUGCGGUUCCACAGCAGCAACACCUGCCCCGCAAGUUCUUCACGAUGGCGGAGGUGCAGCAGCUGAUUUCCGUAAACCCAGGCCGCACGUUGGUGAUCAUUCGGGACAAAGUCUACGAUGUGACCACUUUUCUCGCUUCUCACCCUGGCGGCAAGUCCGCGCUGCGGCGCAACAACGGCAAAGACGUGACGGACGCCUUCUUUAGCAUGCACAGUGCGACGGCAAUGAGGAAGCUGCCUGAUUUCUUGAUUGGUGAGCUAGCGCCAUCCGAGAGUACGCCUGCCGCUGCUGAAGAGACACCAACUGCUGCUCUCGUCCCUGUACGUUUGCGUAUGGCCGACAUCACGAAGGCUCUCAGCGAGGAUCCGAACCGGAUCAUUCUUAUUCUUUUCAGCGAUGCCUACGACGUGACACCGAUGCGCGACAAGCACCCUGGGGGCCUAAGCGUACUGGCGAACAACAACGGUCGCGAGUGCGGCGACACUUUUAUGCGCAUUCACGGCCUUCUGGCAAAGAAGAUGGUGAAGCAGUUCUACCUGGGUCCAGUGGAGGGGCCGGCGCGGAGGAGGUCUCCGCUACGACCAGCGGUUGCAGCCGAGGCAGAAUCCGCCGCCAUCCCCCCUGCGGGACCCAAGACUCAGUCCACUCGCAUUUUGGAGAUGGAGCGCGUGAACUCGACCGCUACCAUCCGGUACUUCACCUUUUCAUGCCCCAAGCCACUCCACAUGAUUCCUGGCGGACACAUCAAACUCUACAGCAAUCUGCAUAAGGAAGAGAGCCGCUUCUACACCCCAUUCAAGACGGGCGCGACGAGCUUCACGAUUUGCAUGAAGCACUACCCCAAUGGCCGCACGUCUGGGUACUUCUUCGACCUGAAAGAAGGAGAUGAGGUCUUCUUUGAUGGCCCUCUUCCUCCCUCCUGGCAUCUCAACACCGAUGCCGCUGUGCAGCGCGCUGCGCCGGAGGAGCGGCACGUGGUGCUCAUUGCUGGCGGAACCGGUAUCGUACCUCUGUACUCCAUCUCCUCUGACGCGCUCGAGACACAAUUGUCCAGCGUCACCUUCGUCUGCUCCGUCCGCACACCAGACGAUCUUAUCUUGGCGACAGAGCUGCGUCGGCUUGCCAACCGCUACUCAACGGCGCUGCCGAUUCAGAAGCACACGCUACGUAUUGUGCUUCUUUUUUCCCGCGCGUCACCGCAGGAUAUAUCAGUGGAGGCCACAUCCUUCGCUUCGCACGUGCUCUGUGGCGGGCGUCUCACGGCGGAGUCUUUCAAGGGUACAGAGAUCCGCCCUGCGCAGGCGGUUGUUGUGUGCGGUCCUCCAACCUUCAACGAUGCUGUGGCCGCAGCAGUGCUGGAGGCAGGCAUCUGCACUGCCACACAGGUUCACCGCCUGUAGGAGAGAUGCGAAACGCAAUCCCAACAUGCACCGCAGGCAGCUGCUAGGCAUACGUGCACCGUGGUAAGGUGAGCUUACGCGAGUCAUUGAGUCACACGGGGGUGCAUAUUCCUAUUUUGUUCGCCCGCCUCUCACUUUUCGCGCCCUUUCACGGUCACAUCGUCAGUGGAAGCGGCUGUGCAGCCUUACCGCAAUGUGUCUGGCACCUUUUCUUCCCUUUCCUGCCAUACAUUCACCCUUCACCCGGAUGACAGGGGGGGGGCGGGGUGAUGCCGCAGCGCGUGGCAUCUCAGGGCCCAGUGCCCCCACUCUGUCUGGGGAGGCCACGCAGCCCCUCCUUCGUCUCUCCCCCUGCCCAAUGCCGAGCCGCCUCUGGUGGUGGCGCGGUGAAGCACCUGCCACGUGGGGAGGUCAGAGCGAUGUACCGCCCCACUGAUGCCGGCGGUCGGGCCCUGGAUGGCGCUGCGGCGGAGCGACCUGCGGCAGUGCACAGGCUUGCGCCACCCAUAUGGUAGGCGAAGCAUCAGCGUGGCUCGAGCGUGUAAUCCCACCCCCGGCCCUCGCACUGCGUACGCGGGUGUGGGGAGCCACCCACCCACCCCUGAGGAGAGAAUGCACCCGGUGGCGCCCGGCAUAGUGGGGGAGCGGCUGUGAGGCGACCUGCGGGGCGCGGGUCGGUGGGCAGAGUGUGAAGCAGGGCUCGCGCUCCGACGGCUGAGCCGGGCGCAUUGCUGUACUGGCAUGUGUCUAGCGCUGCUUCGCACCACGCGAUGGAGUCUGUGACGGGACCGGAAGGGGGGAGUCAGAGUGGAGCUCGACUCAUAUUCUAAGGCAGUUAAAUGGACACACGUUAGACGAUCGAAAACGUAUUUGACACCAAACCUAAAUGCGCGAAGAGAAAAGCGGACCGUCACCGAAAUCAAGGCGCGUGUAUGAUCAUGUUAUUCAUGUUACGGCGCUAGGGGAUAUCCGCUCAUGUACAAAAAGUAAAGGACUCCCCCUUCCAGGCGUGCUUGAUUUUGUUGCGCGGCAAUUUUAACUGUGCUAGGGCACGAGCCGAUGCUGGCUUAGCUCACACGUUGCGUGUUAUAUAGAGGAGAGAAACAACCUGAGGCAGGCGAGUGCACAAAAAAGGUGCUAGCAAGGCGGGCUUGUCUUCUCUCAGGAGGUGAGGCCAUAUUUGUUCUUGAUAGGUUGUCUGCGCGUAGCUACCGCGCGAGCGGACACACUGCCCCUCAGUGGCCGUUCACCCGCAGUCUCUUCUCAUU